rnacentral:rRNA from 1 species
UACAGAGGGUGCAAACGUUGUUCGGAAUCACUGGGCGUAAAGCGCACGUAGGCGGACUCUUAAGUCGGCGGUGAAAUCCUGGAGCUCAACUCCAGAACUGCCUUCGAUACUGGGAGUCUCGAGUUCGGGAGAGGUGAGUGGAACUGCGAGUGUAGAGGUGAAAUUCGUAGAUAUUCGCAAGAACACCAGUGGCGAAGGCGGCUCACUGGCCCGAUACUGACGCUGAGACGCGAAAGCGUGGGGAGCAAACAGG